ACGGUCCAUUUUGCUCUGCUU
rnacentral:miRNA from 1 species